UACGAAGGGUGCAAGCGUUACUCGGAAUUACUGGGCGUAAAGCGUGCGUAGGUGGUUCGUUAAGUCUGAUGUGAAAGCCCUGGGCUCAACCUGGGAAUUGCAUUGGAUACUGGCGCGCUAGAGUGCGGUAGAGGAGAGUGGAAUUCCCGGUGUAGCAGUGAAAUGCGUAGAGAUCGGGAGGAACAUCAGUUGCGAAGGCGGCUCUCUGGACCAACACUGACACUGAGGCACGAAAGCGUGGGGAGCAAACAGG
rnacentral:rRNA from 1 species